rnacentral:rRNA from 1 species
GUUAGCGGCGCGCCUAACACAUGCAAGUCGAGCGAGAAAGGGGCUUCGGCCCCGGUAAAGCGGCGCACGGGUGAGUAACACGUAGGUAAUCUGCCCUCGAGUGGUGGAUAACUCUCCGAAAGGGGAGCUAAUACAGCAUAAGACCACGAGUUUCCGAAUUCGCGGUCAAAGCGGGCCUCUCUUUAGAAGCUCGUGCUUGAGGAUGAGCCUGCGGCCCAUCAGCUAGUUGGCGGUGUAAUGGACCACCAAGGCUAAGACGGGUAGCUGGUCUGAGAGGAUGAACAGCCACACUGGAACUGAGACACGGUCCAGACUCCUACGGGAGGCAGCAGUGGGGAAUCUUGCGCAAUGGGGGCAACCCUGACGCAGCGACGCCGCGUGAGCGAUGAAGGCCUUCGGGUUGUAAAGCUCUGUGGAGAGGGACGAAUAAGUGCCACCUAAUACGUUGCAUGAUGACGGUACCUCUUUAGCAAGCACCGGCUAACUCUGUGCCAGCAGCCGCGGUAA